rnacentral:sRNA from 1 species
GCCAGGCACUGUGGUGCAUGCCUGUAAUCCCAGCAGCUCAGGAGGCUGAGUCAGGAGGAUUGCAAGUUCAAAGCCAGCCUCAGCAAUGGAAAGGUGCUUAGCAACUCAAAUAGACCCUGUCUCUA